GGGAAGUCUCUUUUGUCUGGAGUCGGGGAUGUGCUGGGACCCGAGCGGAUGGAGGUCUGUGCGCCCCUCAUCCAGUUGCCUACCUUUCCGCCUUCACAGCGAUCCCCUCCGUUACCCCCAUCUUACCCUCAUCUUCCGGACGGACCCAUCCUGAGGGUCCUGAGGAGCCUAAGCCGCAGUGAGUGAGGGUAUUUCUUCACUUUCCAUAAAGACACUUUACAACAUUCGUUUUGGGGAGAAUGAUUCUUAAUCCUGCAAAUUGGAAUCCAUUUCUUCUAUAUUGGAUAUGCAACCAACCAUAGAGAUUUUUGCUACAAAGGUCUUUUUCCUCAGGGAAGAAAAGAAAACUGAGCCCAGCUGUUUGGUGCACAUGUGUAACAGCUGUGGACCUCUCUCCUCCUGGAAGAGGACAGGCGAUGGUGUCUUCUCAUACAUCAUACAUGAACUGGAUGGAACAGAAGAGUUCCAUAUCGCAGUUUGUUUUGAAAAUAUAAAAUAAAUAAGUGGCCACGAGACCAAAAUAUC